AAUCAAGCGCGAGAAGGGCGUUUGGUGGAUGCCUUGGCAGUAAGAGGCGAUGAAGGACGUGAUACUCUGCGAUAAGUCAUGGGGAGCCGAGAAUAGGCUUUGAUCCAUGAAUUUCCGAAUGGGGGAACCCACCUGAAUGUUCAUUAUAAUAACUUCGGUUGUUUAUAAUGUGCAUGACCAGGUACUUGAGACCUGAAUACAUAGGGUUUUAAGAGCAAACCCGGGGAACUGAAACAUCUAAGUACCCGGAGGAAAGGACAUCAAUUGAUACUCCCCUAGUAGCGGCGAGCGAACGGGGACCAGCCGAGCUGUGAGUGUGAAUAGAAUGGCAUGGAAUGGCCAACCAGAGUGGGUGACAGUCCCGUAUAUGAAGCAUGAUCAGACGUAUUAAGUAGGGCGGAACACGUGAAAUUCUGUCUGAAGAUCGGAGGACCACCUUCGAAGGCUAAGUACUCCUUACUGACCGAUAGCGAACCAGUACCGUGAGGGAAAGGUGAAAAGCACCCCGACGAGGGGAGUGAAACAGUACCUGAAACCGAACGCCUACAAUCAGUCGGAGCUUGACUGGACUCUAAUGACAAUCUGACGGUAGCAUCGAGAUUAUUAUUAGUGUCCAGUCUUGUGACGGCGUACCUUUUGUAUAAUGGGUCAUCGACUUAGUGUAUCUAGCAAGCUUAAGCCGUUAGGUGUAGGCGCAGCGAAAGCGAGUCUUAAUAGGGCGACUGAGUUAGAUGCAUUAGACCCGAAACCGAGUGAUCUAGGCAUGACCAGGAUGAAGGUAAGGUAACACUUACUGGAGGUCCGAACCCACACCUGUUGAAAAAGGUCGGGAUGAGUUGUGCCUAGGGGUGAAAGGCCAAUCAAACUCGGAGAUAGCUGGUUCUCUGCGAAAUCUAUUUAGGUAGAGCGUCAUCCGAAUACCCCGGGGGGUAGAGCACUGGAUGGGUAAUGGGGCCCCACAGGCUUACUGAUCCUAACCAAACUCCGAAUACCCGGGAGUACUAGAUGGCAGACACACUGCGGAUGCUAACGUCCGUAGUGGAGAGGGAAACAACCCUGACCUACAGCUAAGGCCCCCAAUUCAUGGCUAAGUGGGAAAGCAGGUGGGACGACCAAAACAACCAGGAGGUUGGCUUAGAAGCAGCCAUCCUUUAAAGAUAGCGUAACAGCUCACUGGUCUAAACAAGUUGUCCUGCGGCGAAGAUGUAACGGGGCUCAAGCCAUGAGCCGAAGCUUAGGAUGCCGUAAGGCAUGGUAGCAGAGCGUAGUGUGACAUAGGACCUCUCCUCUUUAGCGAUCUUCGGAUCGCCUUGGAGGAACGGGUUCUUUCUGUGAAGCCGGCGCGUGAGCGAUCCGGUGGAGAGAUCACUAGCGAGAAUGAUGACAUGAGUAGCGACAAAGAGUGUGAGAGACACUCUCGCCGAAAGUCCAAGGGUUCCUGCUUAAAGCUAAUCUGAGCAGGGUAAGCCGGCCCCUAAGGCGAGGCAGAAAUGCGUAGCCGAUGGGAACCACGUUAAUAUUCGUGGGCCAGGAGGAUGUGACGGAUCAAGAGGGUAGUUCAUUCUUAUCGGAUUGAAUGGGCUGCUUAUUGGUCCCUGGAAAUAGCCCUCCAUCAGACCGUACCCUAAACCGACACAGGUGGACUGGUAGAGAAUACCAAGGCGCUUGAGAGAACGAUGUUGAAGGAACUCGGCAAAAUACCUCCGUAAGUUCGCGAGAAGGAGGCCCGGUUCCUAGGCAACUAGGGGCUGGGGGCACAAACCAGGGGGUGGCGACUGUUUACUAAAAACACAGGGCUCUGCGAAGUCGCAAGACGACGUAUAGGGUCUGACGCCUGCCCGGUGCCUGAAGGUUAAAAGGAGAGGUGAGAGCCUUGAAUUGAAGCCCAGGUAAACGGCGGCCGUAACUAUAACGGUCCUAAGGUAGCGAAAUUCCUUGUCGGGUAAGUUCCGACCUGCACGAAUGGCGUAACGACUUCCCCGCUGUCUCCAACAUCGACUCAGCGAAAUUGAAUUGCCUGUCAAGAUGCAGGCUUCCCGCGGUUAGACGGAAAGACCCCGUGCACCUUUACUACAGCUUCGCACUGGCAUCAGGACUGCAAUGUGCAGGAUAGGUGGUGGGCUUUGAAGCGCGAACGCCAGUUUGCGUGGAGCCUCCCUUGAGAUACCACCCUUUGCAUUCUUGAUGUCUAACCGCGGUCCGUUAUCCGGAUCCGGGACCCUGCGUGGCGGGUAGUUUGACUGGGGCGGUCGCCUCCUAAAGAGUAACGGAGGCGCGCGAUGGUUGGCUCAGACCGGUCGGAAAUCGGUCGUUGAGUGCAAUGGCAGAAGCCAGCCUGACUGCAAGUCUGACAAGACGAGCAGAGACGAAAGUCGGUCAUAGUGAUCCGGUGGUCCCGAGUGGAAGGGCCAUCGCUCAACGGAUAAAAGGUACGCCGGGGAUAACAGGCUGAUACUGCCCAAGAGUCCAUAUCGACGGCAGUGUUUGGCACCUCGAUGUCGGCUCAUCUCAUCCUGGGGCUGGAGCAGGUCCCAAGGGUACGGCUGUUCGCCGUUUAAAGAGGUACGUGAGCUGGGUUUAGAACGUCGUGAGACAGUUCGGUCCCUAUCUGCCGUGGGUGUAGGAUACUUGAGAGGAGUUGCCCCUAGUACGAGAGGACCGGGGUGAACGAUCCACUGGUGGACCUGUUGUUGCGCCAGCAGCAGUGCAGGGUAGCUAUGAUCGGACAGGAUAACCGCUGAAGGCAUCUAAGCGGGAAGCCCCCCUCAAAACAAGGUAUCCCUGAGGACCGUGGUAGACCACCACGUCGAUAGGCCGGAGAUGUAAGUGCAGUAAUGCAUUCAGUUGACCGGUACUAAUGGUCCGAUAGGCUUGAUUUG
rnacentral:rRNA from 1 species